UACGAAGGGUGCAAGCGUUAAUCGGAAUUACUGGGCGUAAAGGGUGCGUAGGCGGUUGGUUAAGUCUGUCGUGAAAUCCCCGGGCUCAACCUGGGAAUGGCGAUGGAAACUGGGCAGCUAGAGUGUGUCAGAGGAUGGUGGAAUUCCCGGUGUAGCGGUGAAAUGCGUAGAGAUCGGGAGGAACACCAGUGGCGAAGGCGGCCUUCUGGACCAAUACUGACGCUCAUGCACGAAAGCGUGGGGAGCAAACAGG
rnacentral:rRNA from 1 species